GACGAACGCUGGCGGCGUGCUUAACACAUGCAAGUCGAACGGUAAGGCCCUUCGGGGUACACGAGUGGCGAACGGGUGAGUAACACGUGGGUGAUCUGCCCUGCACUUCGGGAUAGGCCUGGGAAACUGGGUCUAAUACCGGAUAGGACCACUGCCUGCAUGGGUGGUGGUGGAAAGCUUUUGCGGUGUGGGAUGGGCCCGCGGCCUAUCAGCUUGUUGGUGGGGUGAUGGCCUACCAAGGCGACGACGGGUAGCCGGCCGGAGAGGGUGACCGGCCACACUGGGACUGAGAUACGGCCCAGACUCCUACGGGAGGCAGCAGUGGGGAAUAUUGCACAAUGGGCGCAAGCCUGAUUCAGCGACGCCGCGUGAGGGAUGACGGCCUUCGGGUUGUAAACCUCUUUCAGCACCGACGAAGCGCAAGUGACGGUAGGUGCAGAAGAAGGACCGGCCAACUACGUGCCAGCCGCCGCCGUAA
rnacentral:rRNA from 1 species